GAAUGGAUUGGCCCUAACCCUUUAUAUAUUACUUAAGUCCUAUCACAUCUUCCAAUGUGGGAUAUUUCUCCACACGCCCCCUCGAGAUAAUGGCUCUUUUAGCCAUUUAACUCGACAGACUCCAUCACGUCCCCUCGAGAUAAUGCUCUUCUAGCUAUCUCAAUGGAAUUGGGCAUUCUUUUGGGCCAUCAAUUAAUGGGGUGAUCGGACCUCUUUCCGGGCCGGAUUAAUUAAUGAGUCAGCGUGUGUUCGGGCUCUGAUACCAUGUUAAAUUAGGGUUUGUUAUGGGCUUCCAACUCAAAACCAAUUGGCAAUGAGUGGAUUGGCCCUAACCCUUUAUAUAUUACUUAAGUCCCAUCACAUCUUCCAAUGUGGGAUAUUUC
rnacentral:lncRNA from 1 species